rnacentral:rRNA from 1 species
UACGUAGGGUGCGGAGCGUUGUCCGGAAUUACUGGGCGUAAAGAGCUCGUAGGUGGUUUGUCGCGUUGUCCGUGAAAACUCACAACUCAAUUGUGGGCGUGCGGGCGAUACGGGCAGACUGGAGUACUGCAGGGGAGACUGGAAUUCCUGGUGUAGCGGUGAAAUGCGCAGAUAUCAGGAAGAACACCCGUGGCGAAAGCGGCUCUCUGGAACGGUACUGACGCUGAGACGCGAAAGCGUGGGGAGCGAACAGG